AACGAACGCUGGCGGCAGGCUUAACACAUGCAAGUCGAGCGCCCCGCAAGGGGAGCGGCAGACGGGUGAGUAACGCGUGGGAAUCUACCUUUUGCUACGGAAUAACUCAGGGAAACUUGUGCUAAUACCGUAUGUGCCCUUCGGGGGAAAGAUUUAUCGGCAAAGGAUGAGCCCGCGUUGGAUUAGCUAGUUGGUGAGGUAAAGGCUCACCAAGGCGACGAUCCAUAGCUGGUCUGAGAGGAUGAUCAGCCACACUGGGACUGAGACACGGCCCAGACUCCUACGGGAGGCAGCAGUGGGGAAUAUUGGACAAUGGGCGCAAGCCUGAUCCAGCCAUGCCGCGUGAGUGAUGAAGGCCCUA
rnacentral:rRNA from 1 species